UACGGGGGGGGCAAGCGUUGUUCGGAAUUACUGGGACUAAAGGGCGCGUAGGCGGCCUUCUAAGUCGGACGUGAAAUCCCUCGGCUUAACCGAGGAACUGCGUCCGAUACUGAAAGGCUUGAAUCCGGGAGAGGGAUGUGGAAUUCCAGGUGUAGCGGUGAAAUGCGUAGAUAUCUGGAGGAACACCGGUGGCGAAGGCGGCAUCCUGGACCGGCAUUGACGCUGAGGCGCGAAAGCUAGGGGAGCAAACGGG
rnacentral:rRNA from 1 species